rnacentral:lncRNA from 1 species
AUGAGCUCCGGCCUCCCCAGGGCUGCUGGAAGCCAGGCCCAUCCUGUUCUCUCGAUGCGCCCCACCCAGCACCGCAGCGCCCACCCCCUGAUGCCAAACAGCACUGGAAACACGGCCAGUCCAAAAGGAGAAGGCCUGCGAGUGUGCAAACACCAGACUUCAACAAGCCACUGCAAAAGUGCUAUCAAUGAUCUCGUACAUGACGUAUACGUGGGUUACAUGCCUCGGUCAUACGUUGGAUUUACAGGCACAAGUCCAAGCUCGCCACCAGCAAAGCCCCUCCAAACACCUCAGCCUGCUUCCAGGGGCUUCCUUCCCACCUAUACUCCCUCUCCCCAAAGUCCCUCGGGCUCCACUGCCCUCCGUGACCUUGACAGUCAAGGUCACGGAGGGAUUCAGGAAAAGCCGGCACCUGACCCCGCCUCCCUUCCUGCCACUGACUGCUCUCCCUCCUGCCACAGUCAAAGCAUCUGCAGGGUCCAAGCCCCCCCCCCACCCCGGCAUCUGCAGGGUCCGAGUUCCCCCACCCUCUAUCCCCCGCAGCCCCUCACCCUCCCUGACCUUGCUGCUACUGGGCCCCAGGACCCCACAGCUUCGACUGAACCAACCACCUGCAUGCUGCCUGCAAGGAGGCAAGGAAACCUUCCCACUCUGUGGACCAAACAGGAAGCAGCAUCGACUCCCCACCUCGGUAUCCCAGACACCGGUCCCCAGGAGACCCUUCUCCCACUACCCACUUCCUUCACUCACUGCAGGAGAGCUGCUCGCAGGCUCCCGGGUCAGCCAUCAUUCUGCCCAGUGGUCCCCCCCCACCCCACCCCUGCUGCUCCUGUCCAGGAAAAGCCAGGAUCAAGCUGCACUACAGGCAGCACAGGGGUGCCACAGCCACCUGCAGGCCAUGGCCUCAGGGCUCCUGUCCCCUGGAGCAGGGCCACCCAGAGAGGAGGACCAGCGGGGAGUCCCCACACGUGGGUCUGCUUUGUAGGCUCGAAGACACAGCCAAGGGAGGAAGGAGCCAACUGGGGUAGAAGCGAAAAUCUGCCCAUCAGCUGUUGGGAGGAAGUGAAACCCGACUUGGUGUGCUGA